UGAUCCUUGAGGUCCCUUCCAACCUGGGCCAUUCUGUGAAAAACCACACGGUAUGUUUUUCACUCUUUCUCAAACUAACACUACUGGACAAAUACCUCAGCAAUAGAUAUGUGGCACAAUUUUGUGAUGAACCUCUAGCAAGCACCUUUCCAAUCCACCUGGAUGGAUCAGUUCUGUCUCACUCUAUGCCAGAGAAGGCAAACAUUAUAAAAGAAGCCUAGAAGUUUCUUGUUUUGGUUUCUAUUGCGCUAUUACAUGGUGUAUACUUUUUUUUUUUAAUGCUAUUCCUUCCGACACUUUAUUAAAUUGUUGUACUUUCAUGUCUUUUCUACCCUUAAGUUCUGCAGAGGAUUGUUUGACCUUGUAUGAUACUCUCCACUCGAGCAGCAUGUAAGAUGGGACAGCUAUAUCGUAUUCUGUGUACAAACAGGGGGUUCUCAAACUCUGACAAGGGCAGGCCCACCCAGUUAACCUUCUUCAAAGUUAUGCCAAACUGGCUGCAAAAGCCUCAUUUGAAGCACUUGUCUUCAGCCUCCCAAAUGACAAAUACAUGCGAAUGUAUUUCCCUGGGUAUUUUGCUAAGCAAACACGGUGUCAGAAAAGCAGUUUGACAUUCCAGGGUGUGUGUGGGUAAACAACAUAAAAAGGAGUAAGCAAAGAUCACAUACUGUACUAUAACUUCAAGUUCACAGGCCAGUAGCCAUUAGGAAGAGUGCAAGAGGGAAUAAGGUGCUUUACCCUUCCUCUUGUUUACUGAGGAGCGAGGGCAGCUGGGCAGUUAUCCAGUGCUGACAGUUGCUGUAGGUUGCUGUAGAAGUCUUCCCACAAUAAAAGAGGUACACUCACCAUGCAGGAGGAUACACCAAAGUUCAUGUUCCUUCUCCCUAACCCAAAUGAAAUAGUUCUCAGAUAUUUUUGCAAAGCUCUGUUUUUCAAAUAUUUUGUUAACUGUGUAGCAAAGUAGGAAGCAGAAACGUUAAAGACAGAGACUGGAGAUUAGCAUCAGUCAGAUCCGUUGCUUGAAAUUUUACCUAAUGAUAAAUGCCUUUCGUGGUAACUUCUUAUAACCCUCACACCAGUCUAUUCAGGCACAAGAUAACUGUGCACCUUGAUGUUCUGCACACCUUUUCUACCAGUAGUCCCUCUUUCUCACCAAUAACAACUAUUUUCCCAACGCCAACACAUUUUCAGUGAGAUCUGUGGUUGACAGAUGAAGAAAAAUACACCCUCCAAUUGCUAUUUAUGAUAUGAUUACACAGGUCAAGUUUAAUUUCAGCAUUGUGGAUGAAUAUGUUACCCAAUCAUUGUAACGAUGCACUCUCAAAACAGCAGUGGGGCUGAGGAUGGAAAGAAAACCUUGUUUAUAACUUCUCUGCUGAUGAUUGGAGUUUGUAAUGAAAGCAUUCUGACGCAAUCAUCUGUGACACAAAGGUAGGGAAUUUUCGUACCCUUCUAUAGUCACCAUAGGGGUAGCUGCGUGACAGGAUCAAGAAACCACCAGUGCUGGCCUAAUCCAGCUCGUGUUAUGUUGGUGUUUCAUCAGUAGUCACACGUACUUCACAAGCUUUGCGUUCAGUGGAAAGGAGCUUUCUCAAGACCGUCUGAGCACUUCCCUGCAGCAGCCUUCAGACCAGCAAAAGGAGGCAGCACUGCUGGAUCAAGGCUGCUGAGGUGAGAUGCAGGAAUGGACUGAACCAGGGCAGCCAAAUCAAAACACCCGCAGAAACACUACAUGAAUUUGUUAUAUCCACACACUGAAGAUUCUUGCUGUAAAGUUCAAUAGCUGCAGAA